UGUGUAGAUAAAAGGUGGGUUCAGUCCAG
rnacentral:piRNA from 1 species